GAUGAACGCUAGCGACAGGCUCAACACAUGCAAGUCGAGGGGCAGCAUAAAAGUAGCAAUACUUUGGUGGCGACCGGCGCACGGGUGAGUAACGCGUAUGCAACCUACCUAUCAGAGGGGGAUAACCCGGCGAAAGUCGGACUAAUACCGCAUAAAACAGGGGCACCGCAUGGUGAUAUUUGUUAAAGAUUAAUUGCUGAUAGAUGGGCAUGCGUUCCAUUAGGUAGUUGGUGAGGUAAUGGCUCACCAAGCCGACGAUGGAUAGGGGAACUGGGAGGUUGGUCCCCCACACUGGUACUGAGACACGGACCAGACUCCUACGGGAGGCAGCAGUGAGGAAUAUUGGUCAAUGGGCGAGAGCCUGAACCAGCCAAGUCGCGUGAAGGAAGAAGGAUCUAUGGUUCGUAAACUUCUUUUGCAGGGGAAUAAAGUGGAGGACGUGUCCUCUUUUGUAUGUACCCUGAGAAUAAGGAUCGGCUAACUCCGUGCCAGCAGCCGCGGUAAUACGGAGGAUCCGAGCGUUAUCCGGAUUUAUUGGGUUUAAAGGGUGCGUAGGUGGUUUAAUAAGUCAGCGGUGAAAGUUUGCAGCUUAACUGUAAAAAUGCCGUUGAAACUGUUAGACUUGAGUGUAAAUGAGGUAGGCGGAAUGCGUGGUGUAGCGGUGAAAUGCUUAGAUAUCACGCAGAACUCCGAUUGCGAAAGGCAGCUUACCAAGCUACAACUGACACUGAAGCACGAAAGCGUGGGGAUCAAAC
rnacentral:rRNA from 1 species